AGAUUGAACGCUGGCGGCAUGCUUUACACAUGCAAGUCGAGCGGCAGCGCGGGGGCGACCCUGGCGGCGAGCGGCGGACGGGUGAGUAAGGCAUCGGAAUCUGCCCUGAUGUGGGGGAUAACGUAGGGAAACUUACGCUAAUACCGCAUACGCCCUACGGGGGAAAGCGGGGGAUCGAAAGACCUCGCGCCGGUGGAUGAGCCGAAGUCGGAUUAGCUAGUUGGUAGGGUAACGGCCUACCAAGGCGACGAUCCGUAGCUGGUCUGAGAGGACGACCAGCCACACUGGGACUGAGACACGGCCCAGACUCCUACGGGAGGCAGC
rnacentral:rRNA from 1 species